rnacentral:rRNA from 1 species
AUGAACGCUGGCGGCGUGCUUAACACCUGCAAGUCGAACGGAAAGGCCCAAGCUUGCUUGGGUACUCGAGUGGCGAACGGGUGAGUAACACGUGGGUGAUCUGCCCUGCACUUCGGGAUAAGCCUGGGAAACUGGGUCUAAUACUGGAUAGGACCACUUCUUGGAUGUUGUGGUGGAAAGUUUUUUCGGUGUGGGAUGAGCUCGCGGCCUAUCAGCUUGUUGGUGGGGUAAUGGCCUACCAAGGCGUCGACGGGUAGCCGGCCUGAGAGGGUGUACGGCCACAUUGGGACUGAGAUACGGCCCAGACUCCUACGGGAGGCAGCAGUGGGGAAUAUUGCACAAUGGGCGCAAGCCUGAUGCAGCGACGCCGCGUGGGGGAUGACGGCCUUCGGGUUGUAAACUCCUUUCGCUAGGGACGAAGCGUUUUGUGACGGUACCUGGAGAAGAAGCACCGGCUAACUACGUG